CGCCUACGGGGGGCUGCAGUAAGGAAUAUUGGUCAAUGGACGCAAGUCUGAACCAGCCAUGCCGCGUGAAGGAUUAAGGUCCUCUGGAUUGUAAACUUCUUUUAUAUGGGACGAAAAAAGGGCAUUCUUGUUCGUCUGACGGUACCAUAUGAAUAAGCACCGGCUAACUCCGUGCCAGCAGCCGCGGUAAUACGGAGGGUGCAAGCGUUAUCCGGAUUCACUGGGUUUAAAGGGUGCGUAGGCGGGCAGGUAAGUCAGUGGUGAAAUCCUAGAGCUUAACUCUAGAACUGCCAUUGAUACUAUCUGUCUUGAAUAUUGUGGAGGUAAGCGGAAUAUGUCAUGUAGCGGUGAAAUGCUUAGAUAUGACAUAGAACACCUAUUGCGAAGGCAGCUUACUACGCAUAUAUUGACGCUGAGGCACGAAAGCGUGGGGAUCAAACAGGAUUAGAUACCCUAGUAGUCUC
rnacentral:rRNA from 1 species